GAUGCAGCUUAAGUUUUCCAUCAUUUCCACCAGGUUUAUGAAGAACGUUCAAGAGUGUGGUGCUUCAUACUGAGUGUCCACUUGACUGGAUUGAAGGAUACAAAGUAUUGCUCCUGGGUAUGUCUGUGAGGGUGUUGCCAAAGGAGAUUAACAUUUGAGUCAGGGAGCUGGGGAAGGCAGAUCCACCCUUAAUCUGGUGGGCGCAAUCUAAUGAGCUGCCAGUGUGUCUAGAAUAUAAAGCAGGCAGAAAAAUGUGAAAAGAGAGACUGGUCUAUCUUCCUAGCCCACAUCUUUCUCCUGUACUGAAUGCUUCUUCAGUUUUGGAACUCGGACUGGCUCUCCUUGCUCCUUAGCCUGAAGAUGGCCUAGAGUGGGACGUUGUGAUUGACAAUGAAUGAGAGUUGCUGUUUUUCCACAUCCUCUCCAGUAUUCUGGUGUCAGUUUUCUGGAUUCUGUAUUCUAACAGAAUCCAUCCCCGAGGUCAGUGUGAAGUUCUUUGCCAGCCUGGGGACCUCUUUCCAUCUCACUGAGGAAUGAGGAACAGAAUCUGGUCUUCGGUACUGCACAAGUAAGAAGUGUCAACACAUUUAAAAAACAAAAAACAAGUUGUUCUUGGGGCU
rnacentral:lncRNA from 1 species